rnacentral:lncRNA from 1 species
AAUGACCCACCUGCAGUGACGGCUAGUCGGGAACACCGAUUACAAAAUUAAAUAUUCUUUAUAUCUUCCAUGUAAAUUCUCAAACGACACACGCUAGAAAGUAUCAUAGAAAUUCUUUUUAAAAAGAAAGCAAAAUAUCCAACCAUACAUUUUUCACAAUUAAUCAUCUCAAACAACACGUUAUAGAAAAUAACAUAGAAAUUAUUUUUUUAAGAAAAAGAAAAAACAUCCAACCAUACAUUCG